CCUACGGGUGGCAGCAGUGAGGAAUAUUGGUCAAUGGUCGGAAGACUGAACCAGCCAAGCCGCGUGAGGGAUGAAGGUACAGAGUAUUGUAAACCUCUUUUGUCAGGGAACAAAGGCGGGUACGUGUCCCCGGAUGAGUGUACCUGAAGAAAAAGCAUCGGCUAAAUCCGUGCCAGCAGCCGCGGUAAUACGGAGGAUCCGAGCGUUAUCCGGAUUUAUUGGGUUUAAAGGGUGCGGAGGCGGUCUGUUAAGUCCGCGGUGAAAUGCCCGGGCUCAACCCGGGCCCCGCCGUGCAAACUGGCAGUCUCGAGUUGGAGAGAGGUAUGCGGAAUGCGCGGUGUAGCGGUGAAAUGCUUAGAUAUCGCGCAGAACUCCGAUUGCGAAGGCAGCAUGCCGGCGCCACACUGACGCUGAGGCACGAAAGCGUGGGUAUCGAACAGGAUUAGAUACCCCUGUAGUC
rnacentral:rRNA from 1 species